rnacentral:lncRNA from 1 species
UGCCAAGGAGACUAUGUCAUCACCUGGUCUACACUUAUCUCUCUGAUAUCAUAACAUGACCAACUGUGCCAAGGAGACGAAGUCUCACCUGGUCUACACUUAACUCUGAUUUGACAGCCCAGCUGUCUCACUCAUAGUACCAGGAGCGACCUAGACUAUCCAGGGGCGACCUGGUAUGGCUAUCUCAUGCCAUAACUCUGUAUCUGUUCUCUGUCAAGGGCUAAGGAUCAUCCAACAUUCAUCCACAGGAACAACAACAUAUGCAAUGCAUCAUAUUCGUGAAUUCUAAUGCAACACAACCUAAUACAUAACAUGGCAGUUUAUGAUGCAUGGAUCAUGCUAGAAAUGUGUCAUUUCUCAAG